rnacentral:rRNA from 1 species
CAGUAGCCGCGGUAAUACGUAGGGUGCGAGCGUUAAUCGGAAUUACUGGGCGUAAAGCGUGCGCAGGCGGUUGUGUAAGACAGGUGUGAAAUCCCCGGGCUUAACCUGGGAACUGCGCUUGUGACUGCACAGCUAGAGUAUGGCAGAGGGGGGCGGAAUUCCACGUGUAGCAGUGAAAUGCGUAGAGAUGUGGAGGAACACCGAUGGCGAAGGCAGCCCCCUGGGCCAAUACUGACGCUCAUGCACGAAAGCGUGGGGAGCAAACAGGAUUAGAUACCCGGGUAGUCCCUGUCUCUUAUAC